UACGGGGGGGGCAAGCGUUGUUCGGAAUUACUGGGCGUAAAGGGCUCGUAGGUGGCCAACUAAGUCAUACGUGAAAUCCCUCGGCUUAACCGGGGAACUGCGUCUGAUACUGGAUGGCUUGAGGUUGGGAGAGGGAUGCGGAAUUCCAGGUGUAGCGGUGAAAUGCGCAGAUAUCAGGAAGAACACCAAUGGCGAAAGCAGCUCUCUGGGACGGUACUGACGCUGAGACGCGAAAGCGUGGGGAGCGAACAGG
rnacentral:rRNA from 1 species